rnacentral:lncRNA from 1 species
CUGCCAUUUUCCACCCAUUUUUGGGCAUUUGUAUUUCCCUUUUAACCCUUCAGUACCAAACCACAUAACCCAAUCCCAAUUGACAAGAAGCUUCUAAAUUAAAAGCCAUCUAAUGGCUUGAAAUGGACCAAAAACGCAGUUCUAAAUCUCAUCCUUAGGUGCUAGGUUUUGGGGUAUUUGAGUGCCCAUAAAAAGGCUCCAAAAAGAACGCAGAAGGUAAGAGUGGCGGCGGAACAAGGAACUGAGAGAGAAAAACAGAAAGAAAGAAGAAAAAGAGUAGGAGAAAGAGAGAAAAAAUUUUGCAGAAAAAUUUUUGCAAAAAGAGCUGAUUUUCAGCCAUCUUUUGACUCAAAUAUCUCCUCCAUUUUAGCUCGGUUUAAGAAAAUUUUGAUUUCUACUAAAUCUACGACGUGAGAGGGUCGACUUUUGUUCAGAGACUCGGUGGAAAAGACGACUGUAAGUUAUUCGAAUCCGGAUCCAAAGUUGCAGCUUCAACACACGCGGCUCAACCCGCAACCUGGUAUAGAGCUCCGUUAGAUCUGCUUCCAUCGGAGUUUUUUCCGCUCAAAUCUGGUUCUAAGGCUUCCUUAGGUAACCAUAACUCUCUUUCUUGCUUGGUUUAACACAUUUUAUGAAGAACAAGACCCUUUGGACGUGGGUUUGGAACUUUGUUGCUGCUGGGUUUGUUUCAUACUUCUACCAUGCUUGACUUCAGAUUAUUUUCGUGAUUACGGCCUGUUCCUGUUUAUGUUUAGCAUUGGGUUGUGAAAUAAAGUACAUAAGUUAUAAGAGCUAACUUGUUUGGGAACUUGUUUCGUGCAUUUGGUGAAAAUGAAACCCAGAAAUGGUGAAAAGAAAGUUGCAGAAGAAAAAAUGUUGAAGAAGAAAGUUUCUUCGUACAGGCCGCAUGUUCUUUUUCUCAAAUUACAUUUUGACCCCCAAAAUUUAAUUAAUUUCACUAUGGCCCAAAUAUUUUCACAAUUGCACCAAUUUUGCCCUUUUAAAAUUUUAAUCUUCUUCUGAUUGUGAUAUGUGACUUGUUGUGUAGAUUAAUCUUGGGAUUUAAUGCAUGAUUAAGGUCCAGCAUUUUUUUUUUAGAUUUAUUACUUUCUUGGAUUAGUAAAAUAGAUUAAGACUUGGGUUAAUACUUUCUUAGGGUUUCUUGGGGCAGAUUAAUGUUGAGAAUCUGGUUGGGUUUAGUAAAUGGGUUUGGUUUAAUUUACUUGGGUUUUUCGCUUGGGCUUAGGAGGUAAUAGCCUACACUUUCUAAUUGGGUUUGUUUGGGGUAAGAUUAUGGUCUGGCCCGUACGUUUUUCUUGGUUUUUUUGAUCCGGCUUAGGGAGCCUUUGGCCCAAAGAAAGAAAAAUGGCCCAAUGACCUGAUGUUCUUAAGGAAUCAGAAAAUAAAUUUGCAAAUAGGUCCCUAUACUUUUAAGUAUUUUCAUUACAGCCCUGAAAACUUUUAAUUUUCUUCAAUUAGGUCCCUAAUUUAAUUACAAACAGGUCCCUAAACUUUAU